rnacentral:rRNA from 1 species
GACUCUAGCGAGACUGCCUGGGUUAACCAGGAGGAAGGUGGGGAUGACGUCAAAUCAUCAUGCCCCUUAUGUGUAGGGCUACACACGUGCUACAAUGGCUGGUACAGAGAGAUGCAAUACCGCGAGGUGGAGCCAAACUUAAAAACCAGUCUCAGUUCGGAUUGUAGGCUGAAACUCGCCUACAUGAAGCUGGAGUUACUAGUAAUCGCGAAUCAGAAUGUCGCGGUGAAUACGUUCCCGGGUCUUGUACACACCGCCCGUCACACCAUGAGAGUUGGCAAUACCCGAAGUCCGGGAGCUAACCGCAAGGAGGCAGCGGCCGAAGGUAGGGUCAGCGGUUGGGGUGAAGUCGUAACAAGGUAGCCGUAGGAGAACCUGCGGCUGGAUCACCUCCUUUCUAAGGAA